GGCUGGCCUGAGGGUAGUGGAUUAUCAGAACUUAUUAACAUCAGUGUUACUGAAGUUGGUGUACAACCCCCCCCACCCCACUGGUAAAUUUGACUGGCUUUUU
ensembl:misc_RNA Y_RNA Y RNA